UAUUUCUGUUAAUCUGGAAACGCUGUAAAAAGUCUGUUUACAAGUUUACGUUCGUCUGAACUAACAUAUGAAUUUUUCUCGGCCUUUUUGCAAUAUUCUCUAUUUCUAGUCAUGAGCAAAGAUGAAACAAAUCAGGAUCAGAUGAUCUACAGUGACAAAGCCAGUUCAGCACAAAAGGAAAAAGAUGAAAAAGCUUUCAAAUUUAAAGCCGCGGCUUUCCUUGCCGGCGUGACUGGUGUCUCGAUCCUUUUUGGAUUUGGCACUACUCUCGCCGCGGCCAAGAAGAAGGAUCCCCAUUUUUUCGAUCAAGGCCUGACUGGACGCAUCGAAAAACCAACGACGGAGCCAAUUUCCAGUGAAACGGCCACGGCAGUGAGAAGACGUGUCCCAGUAUCGAUUUCUUCUGUGGAGCCGGGUGCAUCUUUAGCUAUUCGAGCUCUUGGCUGGGGCACUCUUUAUGCAGUGACCGGAUGUUCUGUACUAUUCUACGGCAUCUGGAAACUUAUGGCUGUUAAUGAUUUGAAAGAGUUUCGACUGAAAGUUGGUACUUGGCUUCCGGCUGUCCCACGGAACAAUCCUCCUCAGGGUCGUACGGAAUUCUCUGGUCUCAACGAUUUAUUGCAGUACAUUAUCGAUGUUGACAAGGAGAAGAAAGAGGCGUCCAACAGAAAUGAUACCAAAUCUUUGUACAAGUAUAUGGGCAUUUCGGAAAGGUGCGAUGAGGAUGUACAAAAACAUUGCGGUCCAAAGACCAGGGUACCGUGAAACGAAGAACAAAGCAGAAAGAGAAGGGAUUAUCGGUCCUGAAGAGGCAUCUGAAGUAGAAGAAAAUUAAGCCCAAAGAUGAGUACAUUCAGUGGGAUGGAAGAUCUCAGCGCAGACUGCCUCUGAACCGCCGCUGGUCGAUCACCUGAGGACACACCAAACAAAACAAACGAAGCCAAGGAUUAGAUUCUCCAGCCGUUUCUAAAUUAUAUCGAUGCAGGUGAAUUUUCAACUUUUAUUGCGCUGCUGACUGAAAGCGUUUCCCUUUUCUUGUGUGACGCCGACCGACAGCGUCAAGUAUACAGUAGCAGCCUUGAUUUUGCACGAAGAAGUCCUGAAGAGAACCAACUUUUCCCAUCUCGUCACUUUGACUUAACGUGGAAGUAUCCCGCCACCACAUUGACGUUCACCUUGGCCCUCGAGAAAUGGCGAUGAAAGUGAGAAUGAUUAGAAAAUGACAUGAUACGCCCUAAUGCAGGUUUCCUAUAUGGCGAUUAUGGUUUCAUCUGAUGAAAGGUAUCCACCGAAAAUGACAUAAGAUGCUUACAGAAAUACCCAAGGUCUUUGCAGAGUGAAGUAGAAAAUCGGGUCGUGUUGAGCGCAAGAUUGUCGGGCGUCUAUUUUCGUGACAUCUUUUUUUCUUCUUCUAGGGGAUGCCAUAACCACUGGCAUUGGGAGCUUCGUAUACGAUGGGCAGUUACGAGUAUUAAUACGCAAGUACGGCAUUCAAUCGAUCCAACACGGACUGGACGCCAGUCGUGGACAUUGCCGAGUUGAAGGUUCAAUGUCUCGUCUGGGGGACGUUCCGUCGACGCCAACGACAUGGAAAAAACUCGAAAAACUUUUUCAUAAACUGCAACCCAAUUUCAUCGACCAUCAAAGCUGAAGAAAGGCUGAAAUAGCGAUGAAAGGGGGGCAGUUUGGGAAUUGACAUCAACACGCCAGAUAUUCGACUGGAGAAAUGCCAAACUUGCGGCACGCAAAAAAGCAAUUG
rnacentral:misc_RNA from 1 species